GACGAACCGUGCUAACGUUAUUCGGAAUCACUGGGCUUAAAGGGCGCGUAGGCGGGCAGCCAAGUCAGGGGUGAAAGCGUUCGGCUCAACCGGACAAGUGCCUUUGAUACUGGCGGCCUCGAGGGAGGUAGGGGCGCGUGGAACUUCCGGUGGAGCGGUGAAAUGCGUAGAUAUCGGAAGGAACGCCGGUGGCGAAAGCGGCGCGCUGGAUCUCUUCUGACGCUGAGGCGCGAAAGCCAGGGGAGCAAACGGG
rnacentral:rRNA from 1 species